UACGUAGGGGGCUAGCGUUGUCCGGAAUCAUUGGGCGUAAAGCGCGCGUAGGCGGCCCGGUAAGUCCGUUGUGAAAGUCAAAGGCUCAACCUUUGAAUGCCGAUGGAUACUGCCGGGCUCGAGUCCGGAAGAGGCGAGUGGAAUUCCUGGUGUAGCGGUGGAAUGCGCAGAUAUCAGGAGGAACACCUAUAGCGAAGGCAGCUUGCUGGGACGUUACUGACGCUAAGGCGCGAAAGCGUGGGGAGCGAACAGG
rnacentral:rRNA from 1 species